AUGCAUGCCCUUAUCGGUAUGGUUCCUCCGGAGCCUCAGGAACCAGAAGCAGAAGGCAAGAAGAUGGAAAGAGUCGCAGUCGGUGCUCCUUUCACCUGGAUUGCAUGGAACUUUGGUACUUGCUCUGAGGAUGCUAAUGAGGAUGAGGUCAAGACAUAUGCUCGUGUCUACAUGUGAUACGUUAUAUCCAGGACUAUGUUUGCUGAUGGCACAGGCAAGAAUGCUCCAUGGAUGUGGCUGAAGGCGUUGACCGUCUUCGAUAGCAAAUGGAGUUAG
rnacentral:rRNA from 1 species